AUUGCAGAAUUCAGUGAAUCAUCGAAUCUUUGAACGCACCUUGCGCCCUCUGGCUAUUCCGGAGGGCAUGCCUGUUUGAGUAUCAUG
rnacentral:rRNA from 1 species